CGUAGGUCUGUUUGUGAGAGAGAUCGGAUGGCAAGGAGUAACAGCUCUGGUUCAAAGGCAGCCUAACCUGUUGUAGAAGAUUAAUGAGUGUAGGGGACUCUCUGUGGCUUUCACCCCACAGCAAUCAGCUCCAAAUCCAGCCUGCUCCUGGCCGGCCAGCAAAUACCUAAUCAGAUCUCUGUGUGCUAAAUAUGCACAGCUGUGUGUCUGACACGUCUGAUUCAUCUGCAGGAGACAACACACAUGUCAGCUGCUUUGACGAACUAGGAAGAGAAUAUAAAUGCAUCUGGGUGAGGAAAUAGUCAGUGGACAAAUGCAUGAAUAUAUUCACUACCUCUCUGACCAAAUUCCAACAUAGAGUGUGUUCUGAAUUUGCCUGGACAUAGAAGGCUGUAACCAAAUCCAGUUUGAGUUACGCCAGUGAAAAUUGAACAACCGUUGUUGAACUGGAUCCAUUGCAACUAUGUACUGUCAACAGAAGUCAGCAAAAUGCUGCAGAGAGCCAUUGGCUCCAAUUAGAUACCUCUCAUAUCUUUCUGUCUUCUCACGUCUAACUGCACACACAAAGCAUUUGGAUAAUCAUAUUUGAAUUUUAGGCGUGGAAGAUCUGAACUUGAUCACACUGGGAGCUUACGCUUUCUUGGAGCAGGUCAAUGGUGCUGUUUCCCUUUUGCAUGUAUACAGAGCAGUAAGUUUCACAAAAAGAACAUGUACCCCAAAACUGGGAAAGUGGGGAAGAUCCUCCUACUGAAGUCAGAGGAAUUUGGUGGAAUCUAGAAGCUUCCAACUGACUAUUGAAGAGCUGAGAUUGCUGACAUAUUUCUCUCCCCCACCCCAAUAAAGGGCUUAGCAUCCAUCAUGUUGAUGGACAUUCGGCUAACCAUGCUGAAAAUUUGGAUUUCUUGAUAUAAGAUUUUCAGUUUUGUUGCUCCAAAGAAAGCUGAACUCUGAAAUACAGUUGAUUUAGUUGGGAUAUAAUCAUGCUUGUACCCAAAGGUGUACAACAAAACAAAACCCGGCUGCUGACUGUGUCAUCUUUCCAGUGCCAGGCAAAGGCAUUCGUAUUCUCCGGGACAUUUGAACAGCUUUUGAGGCUACUGAUGUUCAUCCUGCGUAGAGGGGAUGGAGAGUUUGUGCUCUUUAAGAUUACUUUUUCUUUGAAUGAACAUUUUGAAUAUAUUGUAGUUGUAUUGUUUAAUUGAAUUUAUGAUGGGAAUUGUAUUACGUUGAACCCCGUUGUCAACAACAUGUGGUGCUAUAUCUAUCCUGUCAUGAGCCACAUUUCUGAUAUGGCAAGAAGUGGGAACAGUGUUGAGGUAAAUGAAGGAUGAGCCAUCUAGGGUAGCCUGAAACACCAAAGACUGCCCGAUGAUAGCAUAUCAGCAAUCACAUUGGUCUUUUAUGCAGGUUUUUUUGCAAAGUGGCUGUAUUGUGAUGGUACGCAGCCAAUGAACUGACCUGAGACUCAAUUCAGGGAGUUGUGUUCAUGGCCCAUUAUGCAUUGGCACCUAGACAGUGAGAAAAGUGUUUACAUGUGUACAGACAAAGA